rnacentral:lncRNA from 1 species
CUUUCUAAUAUGAAUCAUUUAAUUGCAAAACAAGUUAGACUAGUUAUACCAUGCUUUUACUUAUUUAGCAGUUUACUAGACAAGGGUCAGUGACUUACUUUCGUUCAGGGCAUACAAAACGGGCACAAACAUUGUAUUCGAUUUUUAUAUUCGUAUACUUCUACAUCGAGAAUGGAAUCUAGUCGGCUAAGUUAUUAUAAAAAUGCUGGGCAAGAACCUGUUUAGUUAAGUAUGCUUCGAAAGAAAGUUUACGUUAUAAUAUCUUCAACGUGAGUCUCUCGCUUAUUUGAAUCCAA